AGUCUGUGUUGGUAGGUGCUUGAUGUUUGUGGUGGGCAGCCAAAAGUAGACGGCAGCAGAGGAAGGGGAAUGAGGAAGCAGCCCUGAAAGGGAGCAAGAGUGGCUUGGUGGCCAAAGACUUGCAAAGCAAAGCUAUGCAUAACUAUCGCAGAACUCCAUUGCCCUAGAGAUCCAAGGAAAAUCAGAAUUUGAAUACUAGUGCCAGCUCUACUGGGCUCUUUCCCUGCAGGACAGCCAGCUCCUCAAUACUGCCUGCUCAUCCUCAGGAGUACAGGCACAUUUGCAAACUGGAGAAGCUGUAAUGGGCACCACACAUGCUACAAGCUGUUCUAUUGGCUACAACAAAAGGCCUCUUUCAAGUCUCGCUUCAGUGGGAGAAGGAAACCUGCAGCCGCCAUAGACUCAUGUGCUUGUUGGUACUUCAAGAAACUUAUACAAACAUCUUUUGCCUAUAAUAGUGAAAUCCCCUCCAUGUCAAUUGGAAGCAGAUGCUGGGAGU